AGCCUGAUCCAGCCAUGCCGCGUGUGAUGAAGAAGGCCUUUCGGGUUGUAAAGGACUGCCUGUCAGGGAGGAAAUUCCUAGCGCUAAUAUCGCUGGGGGAUGACAGUACCUGAAGAAUAAGCACCGGCUAACUACGUGCCAGCAGCCGCGGUAAUACGUAGGGUGCAAGCGUUAAUCGGAAUUACUGGGCGUAAAGCGUGCGCAGGCGGUUGUGUAAGUCGGAUGUGAAAGCCCCGGGCUUAACCUGGGAACUGCAUUGGAGACUGCACGGCUAGAGUGCGUCAGACGGGGGUAGAAUUCCGUGUGUAGCAUUGAAAUGCGUAUAGAUGCCGAGGAAUACCGAUGGCGAAGGCAGCCCCCUGGGAUGACACUGACGCUCAUGCACGAAAGCGUGGGGAGCAAACAGGAUUACAUACCCUGGUAGUCCACACCCUACCCUAUGUGGACUAGCUCUUGCGGGUU
rnacentral:rRNA from 1 species